AGAGUGGGCUAUGGGAAUCGCGUCAUUAACGACGAGGAAAGUCCGGGCUCCAAAGGGCAGGAUGCCAGCUAACGGCUGGGCGGGGCAACCCGACGGAUAGUGCCGCAGAAAGGGAAACUCUCACUGACGCGCUUGCGCGUUAAGAGAAAAGCUGAAAAGGUGCGGUAAGAGCGCACCAGCAUCUUGGAAACAAGAUGGCUUGGUAAACCCCAUCCGGAGCAAACGCAAAUAGGGAUGCAAUGAUGUGUGCCCGCAUCGCAUUCGGGUUGCGCGCUUGAGGUAAGCAGCGAUGCUUAUCCUAGAUAAAUGAUUCUCACAAGACAGAACCCGGCUUAUAGGCCCGCUCUUGAA
rnacentral:RNase_P_RNA from 1 species